AUGAACGCUGGCGGCGUGCCUAAUCCAUGCCAGUCGAGCGAACAGACGAGGAGCUUGCUCCUCUGACGUUAGCGGCGGACGGGUGAGUAACACGUGGAUAACCUACCUAUAAGACUGGGAUAACUUCGGGAAACCGGAGCUAAUACCGGAUAAUAUAUUGAACCGCAUGGUUCAAUAGUGAAAGACGGUUUUGCUGUCACUUAUAGAUGGAUCCGCGCCGCAUUAGCUAGUUGGUAAGGUAACGGAUUACCAAGGCAACGAUGCGUAGCCGACCUGAGAGGGUGAUCGGCCACACUGGAACUGAGACACGGUCCAGACUCCUACGGGAGGCAGCAGUAGGGAAUCUUCCGCAAUGGGCGAAAGCCUGACGGAGCAACGCCGCGUGAGUGAUGAAGGUCUUCGGAUCGUAAAGCUCUGUUAUUAGGGAAGAACAAAUGUGUAAGUAACUAUGCACGUCUUGACGGUACCUAAUCAGAAAGCCACGGCUAACUACGUG
rnacentral:rRNA from 1 species